UCUUCAUGAUCAUCAUCUCACUCUUCAUUCUUCCAUCUUUUUUUUUCAACAUCAUCUUCAUCUUCUUAUCUUCUAUCUGUCUUGGUGGGAAAAGUUUGUAGAUUUCAUGUUUUUAUUUUGGUUUUCGGUAUUUGAAUCCUUAACAAGAAAAUAUUUGGUUUUUUUUUUCAGGUUUUCGGUAUUUGAAUCCUUAACAAGAAAAUAUUUGGUGCCUUCUUAGUUUUUGGGGUUUCUUUGACAAACAGCCAAUAGCACUGUUAUUACAGGGAUGGAUGGUAAUUUUUUUGGAAAAGGGUGUAACUUUCUGGCUGGAGUAUUACAGCAAAUGAAAGCUAUAAAUAGACUAAUUUAUUUUAUUUCCAAUUGGGCUAUGAUGAUAUAAUUUUGGUUUCUUUAGAUGUAUUUAUGGUUUUAAAUUGAUUGCCAUAUCUUGGCGAGGCAACCCUGAUGGCAUUUGGCUUUCAUUCUCCCCUUGAAAUGCAAUUGGGUCUGCAGCCAUGGCGGUACUCUCAUCUCUGCCUGACUUUUGCCAAUAGACCUGAGCCUUACUUUAAAUUAUCAUAAUAACUGCUUAAUUUAAUUAAAGAUUUGAUCACUGAUUCCUUUUUUUCCAUUUGUAUAAUAAUCUUCGGAUCAUGUCAAUUUCUAAUGUUUUUAUUGGUUGUUUUCACCUUUGAAAAAAUCUCUAGAGAGCUAUGCCAGAAAUUCUCAGGUGUGCUACCUUGGUUUGCAGUUAUAGCUCGUUCAUUAUAUGAUGUUUUACUUAUGACAAAGUUUUAGCUUUUUCCUUUUGCUUUAUACUAUUUUCAUCAUGCUAGAGAAAUUGCUUGAUGCUUUGGUACAAUUUAUAUAGUGACCCAAAUGGGCUUUUGUCAAUGUGCUUUAAAUUUUUUAGAAAUUUUAUGCUCAAGUGCAGAAACUAUAUGAAGUUAGAAUGAAAUAUCUAACUAAAUAUCUUAAGUAUUUCAGAGGUCUUGCAAGCCUAUACGUCUUAAUAGAGAAGUAAAUAUGAUAUUUGAUGGUUGCUUUUUAUAAAAAAUAGUGAAUACUUUUUUACUUAAGUAUACAAAGACUGGUUAGUUUGGAAAAUCUAUCCGGGGCCUUUCUUUUUUCCUACUUCACAACCCAAAAA